ACCCUUUAAUGUUUGAUGUUCUAACGUGGACCCGUAAUCCGGGUUGCGGACAGUGUCUGGUGGGUAGUUUGACUGGGGCGGUCUCCUCCUAAAGAGUAACGGAGGAGCACGAAGGUUGGCUAAUCCUGGUCGGACAUCAGGAGGUUAGUGCAAUGGCAUAAGCCAGCUUGACUGCGAGCGUGACGGCGCGAGCAGGUGCGAAAGCAGGUCAUAGUGAUCCGGUGGUUCUGAAUGGAAGGGCCAUCGCUCAACGGAUAAAAGGUACUCCGGGGAUAACAGGCUGAUACCGCCCAAGAGUUCAUAUCGACGGCGGUGUUUGGCACCUCGAUGUCGGCUCAUCACAUCCUGGGGCUGAAGUAGGUCCCAAGGGUAUGGCUGUUCGCCAUUUAAAGUGGUACGCGAGCUGGGUUUAGAACGUCGUGAGACAGUUCGGUCCCUAUCUGCCGUGGGCGCUGGAGAACUGAGGGGGGCUGCUCCUAGUACGAGAGGACCGGAGUGGACGCAUCACUGGUGUUCGGGUUGUCAUGCCAAUGGCACUGCCCGGUAGCUAAAUGCGGA
rnacentral:rRNA from 1 species